AUCAUUUCUUCAAGACCAUGGCAUCGCUAGCCAGCACUGCUUCGGGCAAACUUGGAUCUCUUUCAAUUUUGUUUCAGGUCUCCAGGUUGCCUAAGGAAAUUUCAUUGUGAAAUACAUACAGCUUGAUGGAAAAAUUCAAACAACUUGUUAGGAAGCAAUGGUUUGACUCUUCCUUGAAUGAUUUAAUUGAUUUGAGACAAAAGUCAUCUUUCAGUUGGAAAUAUAGAUAUAUAAUGGUCCAAUAUCAUAGGGAAUUUCUGAGUCAAUUAGAUCAGGAAUGUAAAUUGUUUUUGCUGCUUGGGCUUGCUUAGCUGGUAAAAAAAAUUCUACCUUUUUUUCAUAUUACUGGCACUUCUCAUUCUAGAUUCGAUGCUAGGCUGAUCAGAAUUUCUGAGUCAAUUAAAUCAGGAGUGUAAAUUGUUUUCGUUGCUAGGGCUUGCUUAGCUGGUAAAAAUGUUAUAUCUUUGUUUUCAUAUUACUGUCACUUUUCACUCCAGAUUAAGUGCUAGGCUAAGUGGGUAAGUAUUGGGAGGCAUUUGAAAUUUCUGGAAGAGUUGUUUUUCGAGAACAUCCUGUAAUUCACACCUACCACUGAUUUGGAACAGCCCUGGUGUAUUACCUUAGUACUGGAGUAUGCACAUCUUAAGUCACUACAUAACAUGCAUGUGACAUUGUUUUUCCCGAAUGGCGUGUGAGACCACCUACCGUGGUAGGACCACGUCCAAGUUACCAUUUAUAUCAAAGUAACAGCAAGCUCAUGAAAUGCAGGUUUCGUAGCUGUUAUUGUUGGCCUUGGGAAAAUGCCGGCCAUCUAAUGUGGUGUGUGCUCUAUUGUAGGAAAUUCAUCCAUGAGGACGACGAGAUGCUUCAGGCUAUUAAAGAAGAACAGGGCGAACAUAUCUAUGGCGUGGUGACAAAGGCUCUGCUCGAAAUCAUUGAUGCUGCCGGUUCCAAUGAUGGACAGCUGGGUCACUUUAUGUUGUCGAUGUGGAGAAGAACUUGCUGGUGAUAGACCCAUGUGAGACAUCUGAGCCCAUUGAGGAGAUACGCUACAAGCAUGAGGACAAUGCCAACUUCAUUCUGGAUGGGCUUCGACGCUGCAUUCAUGUUAACAUGCCUGGGUGGCAUGUACCAGCUCAAGGGUGGACGAUCAACUACAAUGUGGGCAUGCAUGAAAGUUGUGAAAUAGAGGACAGCCGGCUGUUUAUUGUGAACUACAUCAGGGGUUCACUUGACUAUACAUGGAGAUGGAGACUUCCUCUGACACCGGGCCGGCUGCAGUACCUCCGCAAAUUAAUCGCGUACGAGGUGAUUUCCAUGAGGGGAGCAGAGUUGAGCUCCCCGAUUUCAUGAUUGAGGUGUGGUAAUGAUUCCCGUAGUUUCCAUGCUAAGUACGACAUGGGUGUUUCGCCGGCCGCCUCCUCCCCCUCGUCUAGCCGCAUCUCUUCGUCCGCACGAGGAGAUCCAUAGGGAAGGAUCCCCUUUUCUGCAAAGCCCGCGACUUGCCGGCUCCGGCGGCGGCGCUCAUGUCCUGGAGGGAAUUGGGGCUUGAUCUGGAGGCAUGGAAGACCCUCGAGCUCCUGCAGAAGUCGACGGCAUGGGGAAGACGAAGACUUGCUCCAGCCACAUGCCACUGCCCCGUGCUCGUCUUGCCGCUGCCGUUCCCCUCCUCGAGCUGGCGGACUGAUGAUGCAGGACCCGCCCUCUUCGCUCCACCGGCAGCGCCGCUGCCGCUGAUGCUGCCCGCUGCCCACUCGCCGGCAGCGCAAUGAUUGGAGGAGGACUUGGUGCAGAGGAAUGGAGUACGAGUACGGAUGCUGCUUCCGUUGAUCUUAGUGGAAUAAUUAAACAUACAUGCUCACGCAGUGCAUCUAGAUUCCUGUUACCCAUUUCUGGUCUCCAAGGAGCUUGGCGAUCACCUCAC